rnacentral:misc_RNA from 1 species
AAAAAACAGUCUUCACGCGCAUACAGGCACAAUCACAGUGCCCAUUCCGAUCACCGGAUAAAUGGUUCCGGUGGCCGGGCGUUGACUCAAGAAGCCUUUUAAAAGUUGGAAGUGGGAAUUGUUUUGAGUUUUGAUCCUUAGUUAAUAAUGGAUUCUGAAGAAGAAAGAGAAGUGGAGAUGGAGAUGGAGAAAGAAGAAACCCUAGACGAUAGGAAGAAGGGUUUUGAUUAUGUCGUGUUACGAUUGAUUUUAGCGAUUAUUUUCCCAAUCUUUGCUUUCUUUUCCUUAUCCUUAUUUAUAGGAUUCAUAGCAGUUUUGGCCGCCCACUUCUCCAUUGCCACUCCCAUCUCUGUUCCCACUCAGUGCAGGAUAGUCUCCAGCAGUGUGGAUCUCAAAUCAUCGAAGGUCUGCGAACUUGGAUUUUUGAAUUAUAAAGCCAAACAUGUCUUUUAUCCUUUUGAAAGAAGUAAAUUUCGGUGUCGUUAUGAUUAUUAUUGGGCUUCAGUGUUUGAGGUGGAAUACAAAGACCAUUCUUUGGGUCACACACAACUUGCAUUUGCUGAGGCUCCAAAUGAAGCACUUCCUCUAAAUUGCAGGCCUAGUUUUGGCACUGCAUGGUUGACCAAAGAUAGAUUUAAGGUUAAUAAAACCUAUGAGUGCUGGUAUACAAUUGGCAUUUCCAAAGUAAACCUAUAUCGUGAUGGCUUCUUCCCUUGUCAAGCCAAAGAUCCAUCUGCUUUUGAAAUGAUUAGACGCUAUAUUAUCCUGUUCAUGAAGAUAUUACGCUCCUGGUUUGUCCGAAAAAGCGGGAAAUCAAGUUAUUGGAGGUGGGAAACAAUAGCUGGCAUUGUUACUGGUUUUUCAACUUCUUUGAUCUCCUUAAGCUUCUUAAAAUUCCUACAACAAAUGAAAUCAUGGUUGCCCCAAACCUAUGUGGCACGGAUGGUUGCGCCAACCACAAAACUGGUCCUCUUCAAGCGUGCUUGUUUUCUUGUGGCAUACUUCUCUGUUGUGGGUUGGCUGGUAAUCCAGUAUGGUAAAAGGCUUGGACUCUCUGAAAUUUACGGAAUAUACAAUCACUAGGUUGGUACUUGGCACUCCUUUUUGCAAGUGUUAAUUGUCACUCAGUUCCAAUUGGCUCAUGGACUCAUCAAAUUUAAAACUUGCAGUAUAUGGUCACAGUGCAAAGAUGAAGAAUUCAGUGGUUGCUUGAUGUAUUAUAUAUACGUCACGGAUUGGCAAGAUUUCUCCGUUACUACUAGAAAUUCACAGGUUCAAACUUGGUUAAAAUUAUGUACAUCUGAUUCUGUUCAAGGCUUGCAGUGCCCAUUUACAUACGUGGAGCAAAUAAUGUAUGUGGUUGAGAAAGUAGUCUUCAGUGUAGUUCAGAAAGUAGUCUUCAUGUAUAGGACAUCUUGUGAUAUGAUAACAACUCUUAUGUACAAGUUACUUCCAUUAUUAUUUUGAAGGUUCAGGAAUUGAUUAAAAUAAAAAGAAGGAAGUAACUAUUCUCUAUCCUUCUUUCUGUUUUUCUCUUUAUUAGUUUUAGAAAAGAUGGUAAUUGCAUGUUUCAUUGUAAUUUGAGUAUGUAUCAAGUCUAAUUAAUGAGUAUGUAACUUGAAAAUGUAUUUGAAAUAAUUUGAGUUAUAUAAAUAUGACAGGUACAAUGG